UCCCGAUGAGGAAGCAGACCCAAUUGAUAGGAAGUGCCGUAUGACACUUAUAAACAGCAGCGGUAAC
rfam:Citrus sinensis cultivar Ridge Pineapple sweet orange scaffold00126_contig_40, whole genome shotgun sequence.